UCCCAACAAAAAAAGAAAUAUAGCCUGAGUAGAGAAGAAAGGCAGGGGGAUCUCUCAGAGGUUUAAUUUUGUAUUGUGUUUGCCUCUAUUAUAAAAUUGUUAACAUACUCUCUCCCUCUUCUGGAAGAGUAAUGGCAAUAUUAAAGCCAGUUUUACAAUUUUCAUCCUGUGUCUAAAUCCUCCCUCAUCCUGCUGCCUUCUUCCAGGCCUGAGCUUUGCUCCAGUAUUCAUUACCCCUCUCCAACAAAUAAAACACCCCACACCUGCGAGUGGAAUUUCAUCUGGGCAGGAAAAAUGGAAACUUUGUCCUGCUGGAGAAGGGUUUGUGCAGGUCCUGCCACUCUGAGGGGCAUUGCUGCAGCAAGGAGCGAGCUGAGCACCACCAGGAUGUUAAAUUGAAUGCUCUGCACUGGCAGAGAGCUUGGAAAAUAAUGCCAGGGGGUUCAGGUUACUGCAUCAGCACUUGAAAUGUAGGCCACUGGAUCUUAACAAGGUGGAUGUUCCCUAUUCCCCUUCCCUGGCUUCUGAAAGAGCUGGGAAAAGGAAAGACCAGAAGAGCCUGCUCUCCACCCCGGUGACUUACGUGCAGCUCUCUGGAAUCCCAGAAGAUUUUCCCUCUCUGUGCUUCAGGAACAUCAGCACAGCUUGUGGAGGUGAUCCCUGGUGGGUUACAGGAGCUGAGGAGUGACACCAUCACCCCCUUGGAUAGACAGGAGACAUUCCCUGUUCUUUGGGAAGCAGAAAAUCCAUGGCAGGCAGGGAAAUGCUCACCCCCAUCCUAGGGCUGUCCUGCUGUGUGGAAAGUGAAGAGCUGAUCCUGUCUCUGCAUCAGCUGCUUUCCUACAGGCUCAGAGAUCUGGCACGGAUCCCUUGGAGGUGACAUGGAUCCCUUGGAGGUGACACAGGUCCCUUGGAGGUGACACAGAUCACCAGGAGAUGCCACGGAGGAUGAGCCCAGCAGCUCCCAGAGGGCAGGGUUCAAGGAGACCUCCAGAGCAGGAAUUCCAAACACAUCGUCCCACCUCGAAAUGCUCCAGGCAGAUUUGCUGAGGAGGAGCCUCGUGUCAGGACCCAGCUGGGAGGACAUGACCCAAGCUGUCUAAAUUUGUCAUGGCAGGGGAGGUGUCGGAAAGCAGAGCUCGCCUGCUCCGGGCAGGACACAAUGCUGGAAAAAGGAGCAUCGGGUUCAGCUGAUUGUUUACAGUCUCCUAGAGACCAGGGGCUGGGAGUUUUGGAGGGAUGGGCACUGAAAUGAAGACAACAGAUGCAGCUGGGCAGGACUGGCUGAGAUGGGGUCACUUCAGUCUAAUAUCCACUAUUAAUUCCCUUUUUCCUUGCAGCAGUGUGGGUUAUGGCAGGGAUUCAGCUGCAGGAUCAGACCAGGAUGGGUAAUUAAUUUUCCUACCCCUCAAACCCAACACCAGAGCCCCUGUUUUUUUGUAAUAUGAACUUGAAAGGAUGUAGCUAAAAUAAGGAAGGAAGUCAUAUUAAAAGAACGUUCCUGAAAA